AUUGAACGCUGGCGGAAUGCUUUACACAUGCAAGUCGAACGGCAGCACGGACUUCGGUCUGGUGGCGAGUGGCGAACGGGUGAGUAAUGUAUCGGAACGUGCCCAGUCGUGGGGGAUAACGUAGUGAAAAUUACGCUAAUACCGCAUACGAUCUACGGAUGAAAGCGGGGGAUCGCAAGACCUCGCGCGAUUGGAGCGGCCGAUAUCAGAUUAGGUAGUUGGUGGGGUAAAGGCCCACCAAGCCAACGAUCUGUAGCUGGUCGGAGAGGACGACCAGCCACACUGGAACUGAGACACGGUCCAGACUCCUACGGGAGGCAGCAGUGGGGAAUUUUGGACAAUGGGCGAAAGCCUGAUCCAGCCAUUCCGCGUGCAGGAUGAAGGCCCUCGGGUUGUAAACUGCUUUUGUACAGAACGAAAAGGUUUCUACUAAUACUAGGAGCUCAUGACGGUACUGUAAGAAUAAGCACCGGCUAACUACGUGCCAGCCGCCGCAGUAA
rnacentral:rRNA from 1 species